UACGUAGGCAGCGAGCGUUGUUCGGAGUUACUGGGCGUAAAGCGUGCGUAGGCGGUGUCUUAAGUUUGUUUGUGAAAUCUCCCGGCUUAACCGGGAGGGUGCGGCGAAUACUGAGAUGCUGGAGUGCCGGAGAGGUAAGCGGAAUUCCUGGUGUAGCGGUGAAAUGCGUAGAUAUCAGGAGGAACACCUGCGGUGUAGACGGCUUACUGGACGGUAACUGACGCUGAGGCACGAAAGCGUGGGUAGCGAACAGG
rnacentral:rRNA from 1 species